rnacentral:piRNA from 1 species
UNGGAAGAAUUAGGCAGUAUAGUCUGGGGA